CAACAACAACAAUCACAAAACAAACUAAUAUGCAUAUAUGAUAACAAAAAAAGCAACAUUUUUACCAUAUUUAAAGGUUUAUAAAUUACGAACAACUUACAGUAUUAGCGGAUCACACGAUCAUGCUGCGACAUGUGGGAAGAUCUUUACCAGUUUAUAAACACGUUCUGGAAUUACCCAGACGAUGUAUGUGUCAAACAAUGGAAAGCGUGCAAGACUCAGUUGGGACACCUGUUGUGAAACCAUCACAGAAUCUGUCUGGCGUCAGCAUCGACACAUUGUCCAUUUGCAAGAAGUUCAAACAAGCUGGGUUUACUGACCAUGAGGCGGAGGCCCUAACAGAGGUUGUGUUUGAUGUUGUAAGAGCCUCCAUAGACUCCCAGGGGAAGAUGAUGGUCACAAAGUCUGGACUAGAAAUCAAAUCUCAGCAGCUGCUAGCCCAGAUCAGCGCAGUACAGAAAGAUAUGAUCAUCCUGGAGAAGAGUGAAUUUACCAUGAUACGCAAUGAGACAGAGAAACAAGGCAUUCAUAUCAAGCAAUUAGAGGGAAAACUAACUGAUACGAUCAAGAGGCUUGAAGGCCAAGUGAAAUUGGACAUCAACCUUGAGAGGAGUCGAGCAACAGAGGCUCAUGCAUUAAAUGAGAAGAAUCUUCAGUCACUCCAUAAUAAGAUUGAAGUCCUGAUGGCAUUAAAUGAAAAGAAUCAACAGUCACUUAAUAACAAAAUUGAAGUCCAGGAGGCUCAAACAGAAAAGAACUUAAAGUCCCUGGAUAACAAAAUUGAUGUUGAGAUCUCUAACAUGAAAACCAGGCAGGAAAAGAGCAGAAACACAGCCAUAUACUCUUUUAUAGGAUUUCCAAGAAAAAUGGCGAAGAAGUCAGUUAACCAUAUUUAGGCCAUGAAAAUAUGUACAGAAACCUUAUUUACAAAGGUUUCCUAACAACAGGGGCUUCGCUGUUCUUUGCCUACUUGAGGUUGUUAAAGUGAUCCUUGUAGAUGAUUAUGCUACCUCAUCUGUGAUUCCACUAUGAAAAGUCGGCGAAAUGACCAAUGUCCUGGUGAACAGAUGGAGGAAAUAUAACCGAAAAUGGAAUUUUUUUUUGGGGGGGGGGGGGUAAGAAAUUUUUAUAUUUUAGUUUUUAUUGUGAUAAUCAUUGAAUUUUUAAAGCAUUCAUAAACAGUCAAGAUUUAAAGACAACCUCAGUGCUGUUUUGAUUUAAGUAUGUUAACGUUUUUAAUAGCUUGUAUUUAUAAAAAAUACCUAUUUAAUGGACAAACGAUGAUUGAUGCAGUUUUAUUAGUCCCCUACCUGUUUCAACUGAGGGGACUUGUGGUUUUCGCUCUGUGCGUCUGUCUGUCACACUUUUCUGGAUCCUGCAAUAACUUUAAAAGUUCUUAAUAUUUUAUCAUGAAACUUGAAACAUCUAUAGAUGGCAAUAUGGACACUAUGCACGUCAUUUCAUUGUGUUAUUACGUCAAACAUUCUGGUUGCUAUGGCAACAAAUAGACUAGAAAUACUGCUGAAAAUGGUGGUUUUCUGGGUCCUGCGAUAACUUUAAAAAUUCUUCACAUUUUUUCAUGAAACUUAAUACAUGGAUAGAUGACAAUAUGAACAUUAUGCAUUUUAUUUCAUUUUGUUCCUACAUCAAAAAUUCUGGUUGCUAUGGCAACAAAAACAAAAAAAUUCUGACAAUGGUGGAAUUUCUGACAAUGGUGGAGCCGGUAGGGAACAUAUAUUGCUUGGCAAUAGUCUUGUUACUUAUAUACGUGGAAUUUACUUCAUUAGAUUACUUGAAAUAACUUGCAAUUUUUAUGCCCCCGGUAGGGUGGCAUAUAGCAGUUGAACUGUCCAUCAGUCCGUCUGUCUGUCAGUCUGUGCGUCCGUCCGAAAACUUUUACAUCGGUCAUAACUUUUGCAACAUUGAAGAUAGCAACUUGAUAUUUGGCAUGCAUGUGUGUCUCAUGGAGCUGCACAUUUUGAGUGGUGAAAGGUCAAGGUCAUCCUUCACGGUCAAAGGUAAAAAAAACAUUGAAUUAAAAAUUCAAAGCGGCACAGUAGGGGGCAUUGUGUUUCUGACAAACACAUCUUGUUGUAUUGUAUUGUUAAAUUGUUUUGCUUUGAAUUUAGAAAAUUGUUCUUAAUGUUUUUCUUUUUAUAUGGUAAUUUUAUUUUCAAUAUGUAAAUAAACAAAUACAUUUUCAAAAUCUUCAUUUAUAUUGUACUUUUAGCUGUCUUUGAAACCGCUCAAGUCAGUUUUGAGCAUUUUAAAGAAAAUGAAAUGAAUAUAAUAAUUUAAGUUUUUAUUGAAACGACUUAUAAGGGAAAUUAUUAGUUCUGCAACAAUACGCCAAAACCCGUAUUGCAAUAUAUUGUCAGUUCAAAAACCCGUAUUGCAAUAUAUCGCAAUAUAUUGCUAACUUGUACCAAAAUUAUAACUUGCCAAUUACCCGAUAAUCCUGUAUAUUCCAGUUUUAAAGCAAAUUUUGGUAAAUAUUUACUAUACCGGUAAAUGUGCUCAAGAAUAACAAGAAACACAAACAUUCGCAACUUUUUUUAAGUAUCAAAUACAUUUUGGCAUUUGUUACUAUUUAAAGAUGUGAUGAAAUAACGUCCAACCGGGGCGGUUUUUUUUCGCUGAACACGCUUAAUUCAUCUGACGUGAUGUUCCCGUUUUUAUACAACACAAAAUACACCCAUACUUUCCAUGCCACGUUCUACAUGUAUGUAUAAUUUUUGCAUGCUUUUUAUUGAGACAAAGAAUAAAGCACUUUUUAUUUGACGCUAUAAUUUUUUAUUGUCGCAUUAGCAUUAAAAUUUUGAUGCGUAUUUCCGAAAUUUGGAUUACAAAUUCAAUAAUGCUCAAUUCAGAAUCAAACGAAACAUUUACAGCUGUGCGCAAUUAAUUCAACAAUAAUCUGUUCAAAAGCAUCGAACGAAUGCUCCAAUGUAACAACACUACUCCGUAUAAUAUACUUUUCAGAAUGCUAUUUUUACGAAAAAAACUAUUUUCACUGCUUUGUUUUGUUUACCUUGUUAUCAUUAUUUUGGAUGGCUUUUCUGGACGAAAUGUGAAUGAAUUUUUGUAAAAUUUUCGUACCGGUAUGAUGAAAAUCGUAUCGCAAUACAAUAUGCGGAUUGCGUAUUGCGAUAUAUACCGAUAUACCGGUAUAUUGUUGCAGCACUAGAAAUUAUUUAUUUAAUCUGGCAUAUUUGUAAGACUGUGAAACAUAGGUGGUAGAUAGUUGGUAGAAAUAUAAAUACAAGCUUUACUCGUCAAUUUCUGAUCCUGUCCAUUAACAUGUCACAAAAAGCAAUCAAUAAAAACAUUAGAGUGUAAAAUACAUAGUGUUUUCACAUGGUUACUUAACUUGUGGUUUACUUAAUUAUACAUAUGUUUGCAGAUACAUAGUGUUUUCACAUGGUUGCUUAACUUGUGGUUUACUUAAUUAGACAUAUGUUUGCAGUAAUACUGUUUGACCAAAACUAAGGAUUCAUAUUGACUAUUAUAUACAGUAUUUUCCCAGAAAAAAAAUCACUUCAACAAAAUGAAUCUUUUUUUUGACAAAAUUGACCAACAUGAUUUUUUAAAGAACAUUGUCAACUUCUUAUUAACUUAAUGAUUUAACUCUUUCAGUGCGGGAACCGAAUUUUGAAGGCCUUUGCAAACAGUUUUGAUCCAGAUGAGACGCCACAGAACGUGGCGUCUCAUCUGGAUCCAAACUGUUUGCUAUUCUGAUAGUGUUCUUUGAAAAAAAUGGAAGAAAAUGCUAAUUUUAGAAAUUCAGCAGACGACAUUUUAGCAGACGACAAAUUUCCCAGCAUGCAAAGGGUUAACAAAUGUUGAUAACACAAUACUACAUGUAUUCGUCUUGAGUAUCAAAGGAUUUUUUCCCAGUUAACAGAAACUAGUUCAAUACAUUUAAAGAUUGUUUAGAGUGCUUGUUCUAAUAUAAAUUAAAGUGAUAUUAUGGGCAUUUUUCACUGUUGAAUUGAGCUGAAAAGAAUCAACAGGUCAACAGAGUAAGUUAAAAUGUGGUUACUGACUAAUUAUCUGCAACUCAUCUUGCUAACAGUUGUUUAUAAAAAUAUAUUUUAUAUUAUAUAUUUUACGUGACCCACCCAGUCCUGUAAGCCGAAAUGAUAUGUAAAACAAAAUGGUGUCUUUGUGUCGUAUAAACGUAUCUGCACUAAAACUAAAUUUAGGUUCACAUUGUACAUGCGUGAUCAGUUGUUAAACGAAAGUACGGUUGAUAUUCAAAUGCAUUAUUUUUUUUCUUUCCAGGAUAUUGUUUUAGUAUGUUGAUGCUGCAUUAACAAAUAUAAGUGUAUAUGAAGUGAAAACACCAAAAAUAAACAACGGUUGCGAUAGGCACCUAUAAACUGUUAGAUGCCCAUAAUAUCACUUCAAAAGAUGUUUAUUUCAUUUUUUUUAAAUAAUGUAUUGUAAGGAAUAUCUGCACAUAUGCUUGAAAUAAACACAUAAUAGAUA